UUGAUGCUGCUCAAUUAUGCUCAAUCUUCGCUGUCAAUCUUCUCUUUCUCGUCCGUCUCCAACUUCUUUUUUCGUGUAGGUUUCAAGAUUGUUGCAGAAAUCAUUCUUCUCCUUCAAUUUCUUGUCUUUAUCGGCAAAAAAUUCUGCUUACCAGGUAUCAAUUUCUAAUUUUUGAUAUCCAAAUAUGGCGUUUUGAGAUUUGUGAAAGUAAAGCUUUUUUUGUGUUUGCUAAGUUGUUUGUGAUAUCUGCCUGCUAUUAGAUUGAUAGUCGAUUGAUUGAAUUGAUUCCUCCUCCGUUACUCUAUUGUUUUUGAAUUGGUUCCUUUGUAUUUUUUUAAGGCUACUGCUAGGCGGAACUAAGCGAACAAGAUUCUGGGUUGUGGCCUCUCUAUUUUCUGCCUUUUUUAUCUUCCUUUUCAC
rnacentral:lncRNA from 1 species